AAGGCAGCAGGCACGCAAAUUACCCACUCCCGGCACGGGGAGGUAGUGACAAAAAAUAACGAUACGGGACUCAUCCGAGGCCCCGUAAUCGGAAUGAGUACACUUUAAAUCCUUUAACAAGGAUCCAAUGGAGGGCAAGUCUGGUGCCAGCAGCCGCGGUAAUUCCAGCUCCAUUAGCGUAUAUUAAAGUUGUUGCGGUUAAAAAGCUCGUAGUUGGUUCUGCGUCCCACGAUGCUGGUUCACCGCCUGACGGUGCAACUGGCAUGCCGUGGGAUGUCCUGUCGGUGGUGGCCUCGGCCCACGGCGUGUGUAGGUUUAUUCCGAAGCACGUCGUGUGCAGUCGAGGAUCGCCGAUCCAAUCCUGCCUCGGUGCUCUUUAUUGAGUGUCGAGGUGGGCCGACACGUUUACUUUGAACAAAUUAGAGUGCUCAAAGCAGGCUAACUAUGCCUGGAUAUUGGUGCAUGGAAUAAUGGAAUAGGACCUCGGUUCUAUUUUGUUGGUUUUCGGAAUCCGAGGUAAUGAUCAAUAUGGACAGGCGGGGGCAUUCGUAUUGCGACGUUAGAGGUGAAAUUCUUGGAUCGUCGCAAGACGGACUAGAGCGAAAGCAUUUGCCAAGUAUGUCUUAGUUGAUCAAGAACGAAAGUUAGAGGUUCGAAGGCGAUCAGAUACCGCCCUAGUUCUAACCAUAAACGAUGCCAGCCAGCGAUCCGCCGAUGUUCCUCCGAUGACUCGG
rnacentral:rRNA from 2 species